rnacentral:ncRNA from 1 species
UAUUUGGAGAGUUUGAUCCUGGCUCAGAACGAACGCUGGCGGCGUGCUUAACACAUGCAAGUCGAACGAGAAAGUCCGCAAGGAUGAGUACAGUGGCGACCGGGUGCGUAACACGUAGGUAAUCUACCCUUUAGUUUGGGACAACAGUCCGAAAGGAUUGCUAAUACCGAAUAAGACCACAGAGACUUUGGUCACAGAGGUUAAAGGUGGCCUCUACUUGUAAGCUAUCACUAAAGGAGGAGCCUGCGCGCUAUUAGCUAGUUGGUGAGGUAACGGCUCACCAAGGCCAAGAUGGCUAGCUGGUCUGAGAGGACGACCAGCCACACUGGAACUGAAACACGGUCCAGACUCCUACGGGAGGCAGCA